rnacentral:rRNA from 1 species
AGAUGUUGGGUUAAGUCCCGCAACGAGCGCAACCCCCGUCCUUAUUUGCUACCAUUUAGUUGAGCACUCUAAGGAGACUGCCGGUGAUAAGCCGCGAGGAAGGUGGGGAUGACGUCAAGUCCUCAUGGCCCUUACGGGCUGGGCUACACACGUGCUACAAUGGCAGUGACAAUGGGAUGCUAAGGGGCGACCCCUCGCAAAUCUCAAAAAGCCGUCUCAGUACCGAUUGCGCUCUGCAACUCGAGCCCAUGAAGAUGGAAUCGCUAGUAAUCGUGGAUCAUCAUGCCACGGAGAAUACGUUCCCGGGCCUUGUAACACCGCCCGUCACACCAUGGGAGUUGGUUUUACCUGAACGUAGUGCGCUA